rnacentral:misc_RNA from 1 species
AGAGAAGUGGAAGAAGUUUUAGAAAGUUGUAAAGACAAGAUUUUACCGUCAACACAUCCUUUAUACAAAGCCAUUAUAGGCGUGGCAGAAAGACUGUGUGUACAAAACCAAGAUAUUCAACAAAUGAAAGACAUGCAGUGGAAAGUUUUUGUCAUUGAAAAUGAUGAUUUCAAUGCUCAUGUUUAUCCUACAGGAGAAAUAUUUGUCAAUACAGGCUUGCUUAAAUUGGUGACAAAUGCUGACCAGCUAGCUGCUAUCCUGGGACAUGAGAUGUCCCAUGCUUUACUCUCUCAUGCAGCAGAACAGUUGAGUUAUGCUCAAAAGUGGGACUUUUUUGUGAUUGUUAUUAUGGCAGCUCUAUGGAUGAUCAUACCAAGUGAUGGAAUUGCUUCCAUAACAUCCUGGUUCAUGCAUCGUGUCAUUAAGUAUUUUGAUCUGCCCUUCAGCAGAGAAUUGGAAAAGGAAGCAGACAAAGUGGGGCUACAAUUGGCAGCCAAGGCUUGUUUUGAUGUGCGGGAGGCCAGCGUUGUGUGGAGCAUGAUGCAAGUAAAGGACACAGUGGAGGGAAACAGUAUCCCAGAAUUCAUGUCUACACAUCCAUCCAAUGAAACCCGAGUAGAGCUCAUAGACUUCCUGAUACCUCGAAUGACAGAGCUAAGAGACAAGUGUAAUUGUCCGAGACUGCCCAGCAAUGACCCAAGGGUGGCGAUGCAGCACGUCAAACGCUUCGUGGACGACAAAGUGGUAGCUAAGCAGGCGGGGCAGAAUUUGUCCAAACUUCAAGCUCAAGUUUACCAGAAGCCCACCAUCCAGCGUCGGGUCGCCCCAGGGCAGAGCUAACCUCCCUGUGCUUAUGUUAAUCGACUGUUGCUAACAUAUUAAGUGUUUCUGUUGAUCAACUGUCUGUCUAUCUUGUUGAUUUUUAAAAACAUUUUAUGAGAGUUUUUUGUGAUAUCCCGCAUGCAUUGCCAAAUAUUAAAUACAUUAUAUUUGUUAUAUGCAUGUGUUAGAUGUAUGUUUUGGAAUUUAUCAACUUUUGUAUCUAGAUGGAUGUACAAUGGUCUAUUGACAAGGGUUUUAACAUUUUUGUUAUAUAUUGUACAUGUUGAUACAUUGUAUGGUAUUUCAUUUGCACACAAUUACGGUAAGCAUAAUUUAUUAUCUUUAUUUAUAAACAUGCAGAGUUAUUGAUACUCACUUUGUAGUCAAAUGACAACUAUAGAAGUGCUGAUUGUUUAGAUGACACUGUACAUGUAUUGUACAACUGUUUGAUGUUUUCGGUAGUUAUUUUUUUCUAUAUCAUAAUUCUUUAUAGAUUCACUUUUUUCUCACAUUUGAAAAAAUGAGGUCUGCACUUUUAUUCAUUUGUUUAUCAACCACUGAUAAGAUAUUUAUCGUCAUAGAUUUUAACUUGUAUAUAUCUUUUAUCUUAAUUAAAUUAUCAAAUGCAAUAAAAUACACCAAUAUCUUGUUGACAAAUGUGAUAAUAAAGAGAGGUUUAAUUUUUGC